rnacentral:lncRNA from 1 species
CAUCCACACAUAUGAGCCCAGAAGCUUUAUUUAAGCCGAGCUCUGGGUCCCCUCUCUUCUCUUCUUUUUUUCUUCUUUGAGCUUCCUGGUGAGAGGGUUGAUCUGUAUGUUUCUAUGGCUGUGGAGUUUUUUGAUCUAAACCUUAACCUGAAGACUGUUUUCUGGCUUGACCUUUACCUUUACUACAGACCUGCUUAGUAAAUGCUGGCCCUGAUCUUAAUGUUGAUCUGUGGAUUGAUUUCCUAGAUUGACCUGGGACCUGCUUCAUCACUAGGAGUCUGCCUGAUGAGAUAGGCUAUUAGUUGGAGCUGGUCACCUCUGGACCCUCAUUACUUAGAUGCUACGGGACUGGACCUUGGUUGGUGAGCCUCCUUUCUUUCUUGCUGUGAGUUUUCCGUGGUGCUACUGCCUAGUCUGUUCUUGCUCAUACCUUUAUGUGCACAGAUAUCCUUGUGAGGCCUUCAAGCAAUGCAGAGGAUAUCAUAUCAAAGGCAAGCCUGUGAUGCCCUGCCAGAGGGGAUAUGCAGCCAGGUAGCAGUGAGAGAAUGAGGGGAAAAAAAUCUCCUCUAAUGAGAAUGGUGAGGAUCUCCUAUGGCUCUUUCAUGUAUAUGUUAGCUUUCUGUAAAGUCUGUGGCUGCUGAACUCAUGGAAAAAACCCUACACCUGUUUGAAGCACUAAAAUGUAGAGCUGGAUCAGCUGGAUAUAAUUGCCUAAUGUCCUAGGAGCAAAUAAUGGCUGUUUUUCCAACUGUUAUGAAGUGCUGCUACAGAAGCACCACCAAUGGACACGAUGGAGAAGCUGGUGUGCUCUGCUUUCUGCCAAAUAAGUGACUUUGUUUGGAAGCAGCACUGGAAUUGUAAUUUGAAUCCAGCUCAAGAUUGAGGAGAGCCCUGCUAAGGCAAAGAUAACUCCCCAUGUGAUAAGUUAACCAGUGUGCAGGAGAGCAACUCCUAGCCUGUUUCAGGUAUGAGAUGUAUGUUGAAACAGGAUGAGAGGCUUCUUAAAGAGGAGUUGGAGAAAAUGCAUUCCCUUCAAAUUCCAUUAACAGGAGCUUCAGUCAACCUCAAACAGUUGCUUCUAAUACAACUAAAGGAAGAAAUAACUUCUAUUGGCACCUUUCAAAUGUAUUUGGAAAACACUUUGAGUAUCUGUCUGCUGCUCUGUUGUUUACUCAUUGAAGGCUGCUACAACUUCUAGGUGCUGAAAAUCAU